rnacentral:lncRNA from 1 species
UUGUUGGCGGGCUGGAAGUCGCGGGCAGUCUUGGGGCGCUGGACCAGGAAGCCCAUGAUCUGCACCUGCUUCUGGUUGUCGAAGGCCACCAGGCGCACGUAGGCAUCGGGGAAGGCCUUGGUGCAGGCGACGAUCUCGCGCAGCACCUGCAUGGGGUCGCGGCAGCCGAACAUGGGCAGCUUCCACAUGGUCCAGUAGCGGUUGUCGUAGUACAGCUGCGGGCGCACGGGAAAUGGGAGGGAGAAGAGGUUCAGUCACCAGCGCACAGAACCACCAAAGAUGGAAUUGGGCCCCUUGCUUUUCCGUGCUGAAGCACGAGCAGGGGUAUGCGUCAGUUCCCCGCGGUGAGAUAGGCGCUGUCCCGGUGCCAAGCUAACCCAGUGCCACAGUGGACCCGUCUGGCUCUCGCUCCGACUUACGCAAGACACGCUGCCGAAGCGGAUGGCCGACUCGUUGGACACGUAGGCCUUGUCGGCCUCAGCGAACUCCAGGCAGGGGAUCCAGCCUGCAAGCGACAGCACGAAGGGGGUAAGAUAAGUGGCCGACGCAAGCAGUCCAGGGCUAUCCCAGAUAAGGGCGGAUGACAGGCAAACUAUACAGCAGACAACGAACAAGCUAAUCUCAAGCUUCGAGCGAUCGUAAUGUCGCAGUCUGCAGCUACGCCCUAGAUCGUAUUAACUAGCUCUCAAACACAGCCCAGCUACAUAUGCCCACGGCACCAAGCCGUGCUCACCGUUGGCGACGAUGUAGUCGACCUGGGCGGCGAUCUGCUCGUCGGUCAGAGGAGGCAGGUAGGAGAAGGUCUCGAACAUCCUGCGAUCACGCGAUUGACCAGUACUCGUUAGAAGUGGCAGAGCACGUGCGAUGUGAGGCAGCAGGCUGGGCCCCAAGCAAUUGCGUCGCGACUUGCAGAAUCCCUAUCCUUCGGGCUGCGCUUGCUCGUCGACUCACUUGUUGUUGACCGGGGUCCAGACCAUCAUCUGGUUGGCCUGAGCCGGGGCAGCCACGGGGGCAGCCUUGACGGCGGGCUUCAGCGCGGCCAUGGGGCGCACGCUGGAGCGGGCCGGGCGAGCCACGGCCGCGGAGACGGAGGACUUGGCAAUGACGGCGGCCAUUUUAGAUGUUUGAGAAAGUGGUCGAAUGAACGAGUAAGUUCUUGGGACAAAGACUCGGAGGUGGCCGGUCGCCGUUUUCAAUCCCCGCUCGCCGAUGACCCGUACGGCAGGCUUAUCCGACUCGUCGGCUUUCACGACCGCCCGAGCCUGCGCGCUUCAUCCGCUUCCGGAUAGCUUGCUACGAUAAUGCAUUAUUCAAUUUUACGACGCAAUGUCAUGAGCAGCGCCGGGCGGGCUUAUUUACAUGCGUCGCCUCGCUCGCCGUUGACUUGAUACUUUGGAAAUUCGGGCUCGAUUCGUUGCUACAGCCUGCCUUUUGCACACAAUGUGAACGUCGAUUCUACAUUUGUAUGUGACUGAACUUCGCGGCCCCUACUGAACGUUUCGUGCAAGCGACAUGUCGACUCACAACUUGGAGGAACGCGCGAGGGGUCCCCACACGCACUUUCAGCCUGCUUUGGCGAAAUGGACAUGAUAGGUAUAGCCAGGAUAUGGGUCUGCUAGCUCGCCUGGUGUUUUGACCGUCGAUCGGUUUCGCGUUGGGCCUUGCGGCUGCUCGCUCGCCGCGGAUGCUUCCGCACACUGCGCGGCACGUGUUAGUCUGUGCACGACGACGGUUUGUUUGUAUUGCGCCGCCAACGUUCAACGGUGGUGGUAGGUUCGAAUGUCAGAAUGUCGGGCACGGGGACCUUGGGCGCAUUGCCUACAAGCGCGUGCCUGUGUUUUUGGGGGGCAGAGAAGUGAGCCUGCCUAUUGGGUCACAAUAGCACAGAGGCGGGUGGCCAGCGUCGGGAACUGGUUCAGAACGGCUGCAGGGACAGCACCGUGCGUGCGUGUGUGUGUGGGGGGAGCCUUCAAAGUUGACGAGCUUCGCAGCGCUGGGAUGGACUGGCAUUGCGUGCUUGAGUUUGCGUCCCGUGAGAACCCUGCAGUUUAUGGCGGAGACAGGGAAGAGGGAAUGGGAUCGCGCCGGUGCAGGGAAAGGGCACGAAUCUGAGGUUACGGUAUCUGGGGGGAGGUGCCCAUGUGGGAGGGGAAGCCUAACUGCCUGUCUGGGUGCAGACCAGGAAUGGCAACACGUGAACGGUUAGUAGAGAGCUGUGUGCUGUUGGGCGCUCUCGGCAAGGGGCGUGGGAGGGGGCUGGGUUGGUGGGCGGCUGUCCGCACAGUGCCUAGCAGUGCGCACUCAGGCCCUUCGCAGACCGAAGAGGGCGCCAGGGCCUAUGCGCGCGUGGCUUGGCGUGAGGUUCUUGCUGUUGGCGUCAGGCGCCGCAAAAGGCCGGGUGGCUCUGCAGUGUCCUGCUCGCUUGGCGUGCGGCAAAGUGGUUCAGUCAGCGAGCGCAGUGUAUGCGUGUGUGCGUGUAUGCGUGUGCGUGCGUGUGUGUGUGUGUGUGUGUGUGUGUGUGUGUGUGUGUGUGGUUGCUGCGGAGAGGGCACGCAGCGACACGAGAUUGCCAUGCAGUGGUGCAAGCUGCUGGGGUCGGGUAAACGGGGUGGGAAAGUUGGUGAUGGUGGAAUGUUCUUGUGGCACGAACUGGCCUUGUGCGUAUUCGUUCGCCCCGUUCACUCUGGUCCACCAAUCCCACAGUCACUGCACUUAAAUGCCUAAAAGCCCCUGCUACGGUGCGGACAGGGUAAGGCCACGGCAGGUCUAAGUCCAUAUGCGCCCGUAGAGGUUCGAGUGCGUUAACCGGUCGCAAGGUGUUCACAACAUGUUGAUGUGUUGACAACAUGGCUGUGGUCAAGACGUGCCCUGCGAACUUCCCGUGUUUACAUGUUAAUAGAGCUCGCUGACAGCAGUCAUUUGACACCAUUAUGGAAGAAAACAGAGGGGAUUUAGGGGGUGUACGGCACGGUAUGGCACGGUCGGUCGUCGGUCCGGGGGGUCGGGGGGUUCUGCAGGGUGGGGCCUGGAACUAUUGUUCGUACACCCCCGCCUGGCUCCCCUGCUCCCCCUGACUAACCCCUGACCUCUGGCUUUCUUCGCUUUCCUUUCAGUGUCACCAAUUCUCAUGAGUGGGGGCGCACCCCGAAAUAAGCGGGUACGGUGCUUCAGUUCAGUGCUUGCCACGGCCUCAAGAGCCCCAAACCACGUGCACCGAAAUUCGCUUGCACUCCAAAUGCACUGGGAAGCCAGUAGCAGCGCGCUCUCAAAUGCUGGCAUGUGUCUCUCUCUGUCCAGAGCCUGAAUGCGCCAAGUCUGCUACGGUAGGAGGGUGCAACCCGUGGCCCGCCUUGAACCGCGCUUGCACACACAGCUGGAUUGCUGCUGGCAUGACCGUGUGAAAGAGGUACAGGCAGCCGGGCAAGUCCCAGCGGGCAGGUUGGUGUAGGCUAUGCCCCAUAACAGGCCCGUGCAUGCUGCCACGGACUUCUCGCCAGGAAUGUAAGUCCCGAUGCUAGACAAUUACUCCAGCAGCUGCAUGCCGCCAUCUUCAGUACUCGGUAUCCCUUGGUGCACGCAAGUCAAGGAUCAGUCCCAGGGCUCACCCUGGAGCAAUGCAGCCUGCGUGUGCACCUGCGAUGGAGCCGCGGCCUGCGGUAUUGGCUGCCCGAUUACGAAGCUGCGGGUGGGGGCAGUUGGCACGCAUUCCGCCACAGACCCCGCGAGCCUAGCCGCACCCAAGCUCUAAGCGGCCUAGACCGUGACCAAAGGCGAAGAAGCCGCGGCCAUCCCUGCGCUCAGAUUGCAUUGGUUACAAGAGGGACCUGCUGACGCAGUUCAUGGCUUCAUGCGCUCAGAGCCCGAGCCCUGAGCGGCAGCAAAAGCAGAAGCCACGCUACGUGUGCUAGCUACGACCAAUGCCUUGUACAGCUCUCCUCGGCUGCGCUCUUCGGCUGCGCUCCUCGGCUGCGCGGGACAGGGGACUCCGUGCAACCACUAUUGCUUAUAGCCUGCACCAGUCAUUGACGAGUGUUGCGGAACUAAUGCGUACGUAGACCAGAGCGGAAGGCGGAGUGGGCUUGCAGGCGGCACGAGAGUAGGCAGUCAGUAGCGCAAGUUGCGAAUUCCCAUGUUACCUCGUAACCGACGGUAAACGCUGUGGACGGUCGCGCCCAUGGCUGGCUGACGGAAGCUGGCUGCGGUAUUGGGAUGGCUGGGCUGGAUGACGCCGGCCGGGCUGGCGUUGGGACUACCAGAAAGGAUGCGCCCGAAACCAACCUGGAGAACACCAGCGCCACCGGUGCCCAGCACGACAUGUAAGGGAGGGAGGGAGGGACAGGAGGCGUGAUGCACUGCAGCGUAGAAGCUGCAGUCAUGGGCACAGCUUGUACCAUACAGCACGGUCAUCAAGGACACAAUGCCGGAACGGCAUCAUACGAGGCGGGGUUGGGAGCUGCAGGAAGUGGGCAGCGGGGCAGAAUCAAAGGUUUGCAUCGUUUAGAACAGGUGCGGAACACGCGCCAGCGCCAGCGCGGAGGACCCCAAGUAAGGCCUUUACUCACCAAUGUACGUUUUGUACACCCAAUCUCGCCCCCUAUCGACGUUGGCACUAGGUAGCUGGCUAUCAUUCUAUGCAGAUUAAGCAAAGGGGCACCGGGAACAACUGACUCAUGUUCGUCACUGCAGGUUACUGCAAAUGCUGUCUCCACCUUUGCUGCACGGUUCCGUUUCGUCACGUUUGCUGGUGUUGCUACCCGCCGUUCUUUAGUGUGUAACUGAUCUGCGAACCGAGUCCCCUUCAGCUGAUGAACCCCGCAGCAACUUUUCCAAAAGCGCUUCAAAUACGCCCAGCCCGCCCAUGGAGAAAGAGGCCAAAAUCAACGGAGGAUCGUUACAACCAACAAAAUUGCAAAACUCCUCCGCUUUUUACGUGUUGAAAAAGACUGAUCAGCACGAAACGGGGAGCUAAGCUACCGCUUCAGCACUUGAGAGCAGUAUCUUCCAUCCACCGCCGUUCGUCAGGGGGCAAGGCUCAGAUCAACGAGCGCCUCCAUUUACACGGAGCGCUUGUUGGCGGGCUGCCAGUCGCGGGCAGACUUGGGGCGCUGGACCAGGAAGCCCAUGAUCUGCACCUGCUUCUGGUUGUCGAAGGCCACCAGGCGCACGUAGGCAUCGGGGAAGGCCUUGGUGCAGGCGACGAUCUCGCGCAGCACCUGCAUGGGGUCGCGGCAGCCGAACAUGGGCAGCUUCCACAUGGUCCAGUAGCGGUUGUCGUAGUACAGCUGCGGGCGCACGGGAAAUGGGAGGGAGAAGAGGUUCAGUCACCAGCGCACAGAACCACCAAAGAUGGAAUUGGGCCCCUUGCUUUUCCGUGCUGAAGCACGAGCAGGGGUAUGCGUCAGUUCCCCGCGGUGAGAUAGGCGCUGUCCCGGUGCCAAGCUAACCAGUGCCACAGUGGACCCGUGUGCCAAAAGCUAACCCAGUGCCACAGUGGACCCGUCGGGCUCUCGCCAGACUUACGCAAGACACGCUGCCGAAGCGGAUGGCCGACUCGUUGGACACGUAGGCCUUGUCCGACUCAGCGAACUCCAGGCAGGGGAUCCAGCCUGCAAGCAAGGGGAUGAAGGGUGCCGCGAAGGGUGAACGAGGGACAAAGACACGGACAGGAACCGGAUAAGGGGCGGCUUGACCAAGAACUCACGCUCCGACCGCUACUUCGGCAACCCAAAUAAGUGAUUCCACGCUAUGGCUCUGUCGCUGUCGUAUAGCCCGGCUGGUAGCAGCUGGAAAGCUCAAGUGAGGCUGGACAAGCCGCGCUGGCAUGAGUGCAAGCUGUUUGCCCAAGAAAAAGCCGCCGAAAGCCCAGGCUGACUGCAGAUUCCUGACUUGGGCACUGUUCGUUGCUGGAGUGUUGCUCGCAACCCCGCAAGCUCACCGUUGGCGACAAUGUAGUCGACCUGGGCGGCGAUCUGCUCGUCGCUCAGGGGGGGCAGGUAGGAGAAGGUCUCGAACAUCCUGCAAAUGGAAACGGCGACGCAGGGUUAGAUGCUGCUUGAGACAGCGACAGAGGAGCCAAAAGCCUUCGUCGACACAAUGCGGGCGUUGCAAGUCAAAUCUGCAAGCACGCUGCCUGAUCCGCCGGGCUUGCUCGUCGACUCACUUGUUGUUGACCGGGGUCCAGACCAUCAUCUGGUUGGCCUGAGCCGGGGCAGCCACGGGGGCGGCCUUGACGGCGGGCUUCAGCGCGGCCAUGGGGCGCACGCUGGAGCGGGCCGGGCGGGCCACGGCCGCGGAGACGGAGGACUUGGCAAUGACGGCGGCCAUUUUAAGAUGUUGAGUGACUUCUCUUGUAAAAAAGUAAAGAACAUAGGCCCCCUGGCCGGUUUAUCAGGAGGGCACCGCUCCAGGGGCUGCAUGCGAACUGCUUGCAUUGGCGCCUAGCCUUUGUGGGCCAGGGGGCUUCCGGAUAAGGGUUGCAAGUGCUCAAAUACCCCAUCAAACAUCAUCCUGGUUUGGCUGCGCUCCUUCUGGCGCGCCCGGGAAGCCGGGCUUGCACGCAGAGUGAGGAUGCGGCACGGGUGCACGCGCACGAUAGUCACUUUGCAUUCUCAGGACGUUCGCGACGCUAUUAAGGCUGGGUUUUAUCAAAACUAACGAGCUCGGCCACGCGGGCGAGUUCAAACCGUGGCGUGACACAACUAAUAUACGCCCCCGUCGCGGCGGCCCCGGCUGGCGCGCAAAGCAUGCCAAUUACCUUCAUCUGUCACGAAGUAUCAUAGGACGGCAGGCGGGGCAUCUGGGCCGCUCUCGCGGUGUUGCUAGGAAACAGACAAUGUUCCUGCCGUUUGUCCAGUUUUUCGUCGUUUCUGGCGCCGUGUCGCCUCUAAGAGGUAUGUGGAAGAGUUUUACCUGGCUCGCGUCGAAUGUAUAGACCCGUGCGCCGGCGCAUGCGGCGAUCCGGGUUGUGCCGACGGUCGCGGCUUGCUUGACGUGGGCUGCGUAGUUCACCACUCCCCUGGGGCACUGGGUUCAUCAUCAUUUGUACACACUGAGACAGUGCGGUACUACCAUCGUGCAGGGGACUCCGAAGUUCGGUCCACCAAUCCACCAAUGGCGCUAGGACGGGACUUGACGGGAUCGGCGUAGGACGGUGGAACGGGUGCGGUUUGCGUAAUGCAUCAGGGGGGGUCGUGACAGAGGCACGAGAGCUCCCGUCAUGCAGAACGCCGUGGAGAGCCGCUGAGGGGUUUGGAAAGGUGAAAGGGGGGGUCCUAACGGGUCCUAUGACUCGCGGUGGGUUUCUUGCAAUCAUGUCAGGUAAGCGUCGGACCCCUGCAUAAUGCAAAUUACUUUGCGUCUGUUAUACCUAAGGCAGCAAUGCACGGUGGCGGUGGGUGGUGAUCCCUUGGUCGUUCAGACUUCCGACUGCACCCUACAAAAGGACUGAACGCACAGGGAUUGGAUCCUAGGGGUGACCGCACAGGGACCUGGACCCCGCCUACCGGCGCGCGCUGGUGCUGCGUGAGCUGCUGGGCUACCCCGCCGACGUCCCGUGCCGAAGCGGCCCACCUGUACCCACCGCCGCCGGGGAAGUGACAUGGGUUAGCAACCCGGCCUAUCCACUUUGGGUCGGGGCAGCGGCGGGGCAGGGCGGGGCAGGGUGCCGACGUGCUGUGACCUGCGGGACGGCGUGUCACAAAGCGUGUGCGAGAACGGCAAGGGAAGGGGCGAACCCAGGCGCGGCCUGGACGCGUAGACAGAACUGCAGGUGCAGGCGGGC